AUUUCUACAUGUGCAGGUUUCAGGUAAGUUAAUUUCAAUUAUGUCUCUUUCCUUUUUAUUUCCGCUCUGUCCAGUUCCUGUUUCUGGGUCGUCACUUGGAUAUUGAUUGAUAGAUUAUCACUUUCUUAAAUGGUUAUUGAGUGAAGGAUUAAUCUGGUUUUAAUUGAUUUGGGCAAAGUUGCGAUUAUACUUUAGGUCAGUUGUCUGUCUUGAUUCUUUUACAUAGCAAGCUGUUAUUGGGUUCAUAUGACCUUGUGAGCGAUUGAGAAUAUAAAAAUAGAAUUUGCUUUGUUGAUCUGGUUAUUGGAUGAGGUUUCAAACACUGUAGUUAACAGUUAUGAGCCCUGAUACCAUGGGUACAUAGUUGGAUUUGAAAUGUUAUAGAUGCUCCAAUCUUUAUUCGCUCCUUUUGACACCUGCACUUUCAAUAGUAAAGCAACUCAUGAGAAUGGAAAAAGUCCCCAACCCAAAAGAAAAAGUUAAAAAGGGAUGGAAUUUGUACCCAACAGCUAGCCAUUGUGAAAUGUUUUGAACCUCACAUCCUAGUGGAUUAUGAUGGUGGUGUUCAUUUUUCCUUUGUUUGACUAUUAUUAUUAUUA
rnacentral:misc_RNA from 1 species